UUUAAAGAUACAAUUGAGAUCUGGAUAUCUUUGAAUAAUCAUUAGAGUUCAUUUUAAUAAUGUAUAAUAUGUAUAAACAUUUUUAUUUUGCAGUCCUGCAAAGGACAAGUGGUUUGGAGAAUGGAUUGGUUACUGAUGGCAAUUUGAUUAUAACAGGAGGGAACCUGUGAAUUCAACUGAAACUGUCAGUAAAAAGAUCACAGAAUUUAUAGGAUCUACUGGGAAUGAUAGAGGUUAGUGAGAUCAGUUAUUUCCUUCUAACAUGAUUUAAUUAUCUUAUUAUGAGACUUUUCAGUCUUACAAUUGAUUGUUUUUUUUUAUUAGACUAUGAAGAAUCGGUGUUGAACUAAUGCUCAUGUUAAGUGGGUUGGUUUGAAUACGAUGACCAUUAAAUAUUCCUAUUUAUAUAGUUAAGUGAGUGAUGCCAAAAUUAAAUUAGAUGUCUUUGUCUAUCACUAUCUUCCCCAAGAUUCACCUGCACCUCCCACUGAUGCUACAGAUCCUGCAGUACAAAAGCCCAGAAAAUAAAUGGUAUAUCACUUAAUCAUUUACAGUUUUUAAAAAAAAACAAAUUACAAUAUUGAAAAUAGAGCAGACAAUUUCAGUUAUAUUUCUGUGUCAGUGUGUAUCAGGCAAAUACAGUAGAUCAAAGUCCCUGUAUGUGCACUCUUGUGUAAUGAAGGGGAGGAGUUUUACUAGAGUAACGUGAGCAAGUGGAAUAGUUUCUCAUUGACGCAUUAGGUAGGCACGCCUGCUGCAAGGUGUGGUUAGGUGGAGUAUGUUAAAGGAAAGGAGAUUACCCUGUGUACGUAAUAAACUGCACGUAAGAGAGAGAGGAAACUAGGAAAACAGGGAGCAAGUCAUGAACACAGCAGGGUAAGUACAUUAAUUCAUUAGUAAAUUGAAGUUUAAUGUUGUGAAUAUUUUCUGGUCUGUGGUUUCUAUUCAUCUGUCACGCAGAUUUCAAAACAACAGUCCAGGAAGCAACUUUCAGUUUUGUUUCAGCAUGAGAGAAACUUUGAAUAUUCAUUAGAUUUCAGUCUCAUUAUAAUGUAUGGAGUGUAUCUAAUAUUUCAUAUGUGACUUGGAUUUUUUUUUUUGCAAACAAAACAGCAUGGAGAAUUCGGUUUGCUUCAUGCAGC
rnacentral:lncRNA from 1 species